AUACUUACCUGGCAGGGGAGACGCCUNGACCAUGAAGGAGGUUUUCCCAGGGUGUGGCUCAACCAUUGCACUCCAGCUAUGCUGACCUCUACAAUGACCCCAAAUGUGGGAAACUCAACUGCAUAAUUUGUGGUAGUGGGUGACUGUGUGCACACAUUCCCCUG
rnacentral:snRNA from 1 species